AUGUAAACUGGAAAUUAAAUUUAAACUUGACGCACCAUCCAACAUGAAUACUCAGACUUCAGAUCCUUCUACUACCACCAUGUCAGAGCUCAUCACCGGCAGCAGUGGAGCAUCCAUACAUGAAAUCAUAUACUCAUAAAUUAUCCAAAUUUCGAGCUCAUUUCAAAUCCGCAAUCAGAAUCCACUAAUAAAUCCUCCAAUCUCCAAAUCGAAAGGAAUAAUGCCAGAACCCUAAAUAUUUCAACAAAAAUUAAAUGGAGGAUAGAAAGAAUCAGAGCCUUAUAUGUUAGGGCUUAUAUUUGUCUCAGCAAAGUUACAUCGUGGUAACUUACUCGAAGAAAUAGGAUGAAGAUUGAAGAUACACUCACUGGAACAAGAGCAGGAAAGCCCAGGUUAUCUAAGUGGAAUGCCUAUGGUUAUGAAAUGGUGAUGACAUGUUGCAUCAACCUUGGUUCAAAUGUAGGUCGUGUCUUUAGGUGGAUGGAAGUCUGAGUUGAUGACUUGUUGAACUAGUGGCUCACAAAUUAUAUUUGUGACUCAGUUGCAAGGUGCUUGGACAUCUUUGGACAGGCUUAAUAGGUUACAAGUUAGGUCAUAUCAAGUGGUAGUUGCAUCAGGUUAUAUUAUUGCAGGUCACUUUUUGUAUGACAAUGAAGGGCAAUACAAUGGUUUGGGUGGAUUGUAAACAGGAUAUGCCAAGGGUUUUGUAGGCUUGCUGCAGGACCAUGGUUCAAGGAGUGUUGGCUGUAGGUUGCACGAUGCUAGUGCAAGGCUUGUGAACUGAUGCAUAUUUUACUAAUGUCAUGGUGUAUUUGAUUAUUGGAGAAUGCAAGAAUAGUUUGGCAAGGUAAAGUUAUGGUUGGCAAUGCAAAGUGUCCAAGUCAUGUCACGGAGGAUCAAGUCAUGACAUGGUGUGAUCAAUUUGCAACAAUGGAGUUUCUAGCUUAUGAAGCAACAUGGAAGCUCAUAGAAUCAAAUAUGAAUAAAAAUGUAAUUAAUAUAAGGAUUUUAGGGUGAAAAAGUAAUGGUUGACUUUGUUCAACUUGUUAACCAAAAAGUCAACAAUCGAUCAAAAGUCAACUUUUGUAAAAAUGUAUUUUUUCUUUCUCUUUUUGUAAUGGAUUAUGUAUAUGCUACACCAUGAAUGAAAUUAUUUGAAUGAAAUUAUCAUGA